rnacentral:rRNA from 1 species
UACGUAGGGGGCAAGCGUUGUCCGGAAUCAUUGGGCGUAAAGCGCGUGUAGGCGGCCCGAUAAGUCCGCUGUGAAAGUCCAGGGCUCAACCCUGGGAUGCCGGUGGAUACUGUCGGGCUCGAGUCCGGAAGAGGCGAGUGGAAUUCCUGGUGUAGCGGUGGAAUGCGCAGAUAUCAGGAGGAACACCAAUGGCGAAGGCAGCUCGCUGGGACGGUACUGACGCUGAGGCGCGAAAGCGUGGGGAGCGAACAGG